UUCUUGGAACUCCAGUGGUUCCUUCAUUGGAUGGAUAUGAAUCUCGACCAGGUAUUGGGAAUGCGAGAAGCAGUACAUUGGUCAGAUAAAUAUCUACAACAAAAUCUUUAAGGAUAUGACUACAUUGAAGUAUGAGAUUCCGCUACUGGAUCGCAAUACAAGAUUUUCAUUGUGGUAAGUAAAGAUCAGGGUUGUGUUGGCACAGAUGGAUGUAGAUGAUGCUUUGUUGACUUUUGAUAAAAUGCCAGCAAAAUGUACAACGAAGGAUUCGGUUUAAGAACCGUCGGGUUCGGUUCGGGAGAUUUGCCCAACCCUACAUUUAAUGACAUGAUGUAUUUAAAUAAACAUCAUAUGGCUUUUAUAUAAAUUGUGGAAGCAUCCUUAUGAAGUUUAUUGACCAAUUCAACAAAUUUGAACAACUCCCAAUUAUAUAAAUAUGAAGACUCUCUGCAUAUGUGUGGGGUAAUUUAAUGAAUAGUCACUCAACAUUAUUAUAGGUUACUAUUUGCUCAAUGAUAUCCAAAAAGGUAUUCGUUGCUCAAUGAGCUUUGCUAUAUGUUACUAUUUACAAUGAAAUUGCAAGUGGAGGGUAAAGUUUUGGAUGACUACUACUUGUUUUUGUCUGGAAAUUAUGGGAAUUCUUGCAUUGAUAUUCGUUCCACUUGAUUGGUUUUUUCUGAGUGAUUAAGAUGUAUUUGGUGGAGAGUAGAGGGGGAUGUUAAGGCACAUGGCCUGCGAUUUUGAUAAUCCUGGAGACGCUUGGUUGGAUUCACCCUCGAUCGAAUUCAAUAUUCUUCACAAUUGGAAUGAACUCUAGUUCAAUUUUGUUGGGUGGCUUUUGGCUCCUAGAGGAAAUUCACUAAAGCGAGUGGAAGCCACUACAGGAUGCCGCGCGUGUAUAUUAGAGGAGAGGGUUCAAAAAAGACUUCGACAAGGUAAUGCAAGUGCUCCCCCUAUAUGAUGCAUUUUUGUGGUGUUAUAAGUAUUUAUAAAGACUAAUUCUGAAUAGCUAUAUAUUUGAAUGAAAACCUGUUAACGAUGCACACAACAAAAUGGCAAAGAAAAAG